UCCAAAGGCUAAUGAUAAAAGCCAAAGAA
rnacentral:piRNA from 1 species